UGUCUGAGCGUGCGAAAGGCGCCGGCUCGGAAGAAAUCCCCCUCCUCCAGGUUCAUAAUGUAUUGUACAAAUUGAAUACCAGAUGAUGAAUUGACAUUAGCUUCUCUGGGCUUGGGAACUUAACAGAUGAGGGCUAAAAAGAAGAUGUCCUGUGAUCCAUAUUCAACCCUGUUGAAUGGAGAAACAAGAUGGAAGGACCCUGUAUGACUGCAUGGAGCAGCCUGGAACUCAGACACUAAAUUAAGAAAUGAAUUUCUGGGGAAUGAAUUUCUGAGCCUGGGUGACUCAGUCGGUUAAACAUCUGACCCUUGCUUUUGGCU